rnacentral:rRNA from 1 species
AGAGUUUGAUCCUGGCUCAGGAUGAACGCUAGCGGCAGGCCUAACACAUGCAAGUCGAGGGGCAGCGGGAGUGCUUGCACUUGCCGGCGACCGGCGCACGGGUGCGGAACGCGUAUCGAAUCUGCCUCUAUCUGGGGGAUACCCCAUGGAAACGUGGAAUAAUACCCCAUAGUAUUACUUUAUCGCAUGAUUUAGUAAUUAAAGAAUUUCGGAUAGAGAUGACGAUGCGUAUCAUUAGCUAGUAGGUAAGGUAACGGCUUACCUAGGCAACGAUGAUUAGGGGUCCUGAGAGGGAGAUCCCCCACACUGGUACUGAGACACGGACCAGACUCCUACGGGAGGCAGCAGUGAGGAAUAUUGGACAAUGGUCGAAAGACUGAUCCAGCCAUGCCGCGUGCAGGAUGACUGCCCUAUGGGUUGUAAACUGCUUUUAUACGGGAAGAAAAACACCUACGUGUAGGUGACUGACGGUACCGUAAGAAUAAGGACCGGCUAACUCCGUGCCAGCAGCCGCGGUAAUACGGAGGGUCCAAGCGUAUCCGGAAUCAUUGGGUUUAAAGGGUCCGUAGGCGGGCUAUUAAGUCAGAGGUGAAAGUUUGCAGCUCAACUGUAAAAUUGCCUUUGAUACUGAUAGUCUUGAAUUGUAGUGAAGUGGUUAGAAUAUGUGGUGUAGCGGUGAAAUGCAUAGAUAUCACAUAGAAUACCGAUUGCGAAGGCAGAUCACUAACUAUAUAUUGACGCUGAGGGACGAAAGCGUGGGGAGCGAACGGGAUUAGAUACCCCGGUAGUCCACGCCGUAAACGAUGGAUACUAGCUGUUGGAUUUUUUCAGUGGCUAAGCGAAAGUGAUAAGUAUCCCACCUGGGGAGUACGUUCGCAAGAAUGAAACUCAAAGGAAUUGACGGGGGCCCGCACAAGCGGUGGAGCAUGUGGUUUAAUUCGAUGAUACGCGAGGAACCUUACCAGGGCUUAAAUGGGAAAUGACAGGGGCAGAGACGCCCCCUUCUUCGGACAUUUUUCAAGGUGCUGCAUGGUUGUCGUCAGCUCGUGCCGUGAGGUGUCAGGUUAAGUCCUAUAACGAGCGCAACCCCUACCGUUAGUUGCCAGCGAGUAAUGUCGGGGACUCUAACGGAACUGCCGGUGCAAACCGUGAGGAAGGUGGGGACGACGUCAAAUCAUCACGGCCCUUACGUCCUGGGCCACACACGUGCUACAAUGGUAGGUACAGAGGGAAGCCACCCCGCGAGGGGGAGCGGAUCUAUAAAACCUAUCUCAGUUCGGAUCGGAGUCUGCAACUCGACUCCGUGAAGCUGGAAUCGCUAGUAAUCGGAUAUCAGCCAUGAUCCGGUGAAUACGUUCCCGGGCCUUGUACACACCGCCCGUCAAGCCAUGGAAGCUGGGGGUGCCUGAAGUCCGUCACCGAAAGGAGCGGCCUAGGGCAAAACUAGUAACUAGGGCUAAGUCGUAACAAGGUAACC